CUUUUAGGAAAAUGGUCAACAAAGAACAAAGGAAAAAUGUCUUUGUCUUAAAUCACUUAUUUUUCUGAGAGAGCUGGCAGUGUACAGCUCUCAUUUCUUUUGGUCUAAGGAAAGAUUGCCAUCUAUUGGAUGACCUUGGAAAAUAGCAGGUUUUUACUAUGUAUGUACUCCAUAAUUCAUUAAAAAAAAAAAAAUAAAUAAAAAAAUUGAAGACAUUAAAUUGUAUAUAUUAUGAUAGUAAAAUGGUACAAGAGCUAUUAUCUUCUUAAAACUAUGAUUUUGAAUUCCGGAAUUACUUACAUUAACAAAAUAUGAUAGAAAUAGACAUUUGCUUUAGAAUGAGCUAAAUACUGAAUUUUUAUAUACACAGUAAGAUUUGGUAGCAGUUUAAAUAUUUUCAGAAAACUGAAUCCAAGACUCUUUAUUUAUGUUUACUGCAAUGCAAGGAGAGAGUCUUAAGUCAACUAUUAAUAUAUCUGUGCUAUAUUUUCCUCUAAGGAUUUGGGAACAGAAUUAUGCUGUUCUCAUGAAAACAAUAUUUGUCCAGCCCUUACAGAGGGUUGCAAUGCACUCUAUUACUUUUAAAACAAAAAUAUCACUCAGUUUAGAUUUAAAAUGUAAUGCUUUUCUCUUUUCUUUUCUUUUCCCCCCCUUUUUUUUUUCUUUUUUUUUUUCCUUUAUCUUUCAGCCCAAGAACUUGCCAGUCAAGAUGAAAAACUUCUUCUAAUGGAAUCCAGCUUGAAAGCAACUCAAGAGCAGCUAAGUGAGCAAACAGCAGAAACAGUUCACCAAGAACAGAACAGUAGAAAAUCACAGACAGAGCUGAAAGAAGAUCCUGAGAGAACGUAUUAUAGCUUCUGAUGAAGAAAUUAGUGAUUACAAGUCUGAAAAAUGUGAGUAAUGCCUCCAGAAAAGCUUAAAUGGGAAUCACGCCAAGAAUGUGGGACCAGGAAAGUCAAAUUGUCAGACUGAGACAAAACUUUGUGGAAAUGGAAGAAGAAGUAAAGAACUUAAGACUUACACACAGCAAUGAUGCUCAGAUGAUUGAUAAGAAUCUGAAUACUCUGAGAAAUGAGAUGAACUUGUAUGAAGACACAUAGGAUGGUAGUCAAAUGAGCUGAAGUUUAAAUAUGAACAACACAAUGCAACACUGAGGCCUGCAUGACUGUAAGAAUGUUAGGUAAGACCCCUUAGUUACUUUUAGACAACUGUUUCUCUGGAAUGUUUCUUUAAUAGAUAUUAAGUCCUUGAAGAGAAAUAGAUUUCUGUAGCUUUGUUUUGCCACUUCAUUUUCAAAUACUAAAUUGAAAAACUGUGUAGAAAGGGAAAUAAUAUCAUAGUAAUUUUAUCAUAAAAGAUACUCAUCAUUUUUUUAAUUAAAAAUAUUCUCUUGUGCAGCUAAUGUUUAGGUGAAGAAAAUGGUGUAGAAUUUUUCAAUACUGAAGUGUAUGAUUUCAAGUCUUGUUUUCAUCCUGUGCAAAGUCAAAUAACUUGUGGACAAAGAAUACAUAAUUUUCCAAAUCUGUGAACUGAAAAUAGAAUGACAGCAGCACGUUUUCUUGAAAACUAAAAAAGAAGAAGAAAUAAUAAAACAAAGAUUUUAUUUUAUUUAACCAUAAGUACUUAUGGAAAACAAAAACAAACAAACAAACAAAAAUGGAUAUUGCAAAUGCAGAUGGUGCACAUUGAUACUCAUAAUUACUAAAUACACUUUCCGUAUCUCAUAACACAUUAAUAUACAAUAUAAAAAGAGCUGGAAUAGUUAUAGUCAUUUUCUUUUUACUGCUAAAAAAUUGAAUUUAUGUCAGUUAGUGUAUUGAAAGCUCUGAAGUGUCACUAAAAAGUGAAGUUUAUAAUUAUUCGGACCUACUAUCAGAAAUUCCUUAAGAUUGUUACAGCUCUUACAAUAAAUAUUUGUCUGCCCCGUAUUUGUAAAAACAUACAAUAUUGGAACAACAACAACAACAAAAAGUUAAGUAUUGUUUUGAACUGGGAAACACUAAGUUGUGAUAGAUUUGCAGUAAUACUCUUGAAAAUAUAAUUUAAAUUCACACUUAUAUUUGUGAUAAAAAAUGCUUCAUGGCAUUUUGUAACACUUCUAUAGGGCAUCACUAUUACCUCGGUUUGUAUUGAGACACUGUUGCUGUUUGAAAAGUUAAUCAUGCAGUACUGCUCCAUUCCCCUGGGAGAAAGGUGCUGGGGAAGGAAAAAAUCCAAUUGAGGUAGCAGAAAUUAAUUUAUUAAAAGGAAUGUGAGAUAAUAGAGAAUAAAUAAGAGUAAUAAAUCAAAACAAACCAAAAAUAAAACUGGAGGAGAGAGAGAGAGUCCAUCCAAAUCUUUAUCAGCAGGCCCUCCACUGUUUGCUUCCUGUAAAAGACAAGAGAGUUCUUCCCUUGUAACCCAGAAUUGGAACCAUGUGGAGGCUGCUGGAAAAUUCAGUACAUCCCAGUGCAUCUUUGCCUGGGGGAGUCAGAACUCACAUGAGAUUGCUAGAGAUAAACAGGAAACACAUCUCCGCAGUGCACUGUGCACUCUGCGUCCAACAGCCUGUUGCAUGAUAUUACGAUAUGGAAUAUUGAUAUAACCAGAACAGAGAUACAGUUGCAAUAUUUAAUAACUUAUAAUAUUGGACAAAAUAAAAAAGCUGCAAUUAAAAAAAAAAAAAAAAAAGGCCUGAAUAAUAGUUGUGAUAAUAAUUUAGUUUUUAUUAUAGCAGUUUACAGUCAGAGAUUUCAUAUUUUCAGAAGAUGUGCAAUUAUUGUUAUUUUUAAUACUAUGAUUUUACUUGUGUGUAAUAUGAUUUUACAUUUAUAUAUGUACUUUGAGGUAUAAAAUUGAUUUUUUUUUUUUUUUUUGGAUCACAGGAUAGAAAAUUGUCUUUGGUAGCAGCAAAGAUUAAAAAAAUAGUAUCACUUAAAUAAAUACAUGUGAAGAAGCCAAAUUUGUAACAAAAAGGAAACCAGUAAAUGAAUUCACAAAAGCCAGCUACUACAUAGCAAAUCUCUGUAUAAAUGGGCUGAGAGUAUGUACCAAGAAGAAGGCAAGUAUCUAUUCUUUUUCAAUGGGAAAAACAAAAAACAAAAAACAAACAAACAAAAAAGCUAUUUCAUCCUUACUUUGGGAAAAAGGCACACAAAACCAAAGCAAAAAAUGCCUCACUGACUGCAUCUGUCCAUUCUGUACUGUAAUUUGUUUCCCGCUAUGAAGAUUUAGGUUAAAUUCAUUUCUAUUAUUAAAGACAAAUAAGCUGCAAAAGAACUAAUUCUCUGUCUCCAUCUUUUACAUGUAUAUUUAUUCAUAUGAAUGCACUUUUGUUCAUUUAUUUUUACUUCUACCUUGACAAAGCUGUGCAAAAAAUAACAUAGUUUGAUUACUCAUAAUUUGCAUUUGUGUAAUUAAUAGGGAUGAAAAGGAUUAAAAUCAAUGGAGAAAUAUUUAUUUGUUUAAAUUGGAUAACUAUGGAAAAACUAUUUGGCAGGAAUGAAAGCUUUUCCAUCUAAAUUACGUCAUAUAAUUUAAACUGUUUUAGUUUUUAAGCUUAAAAAGCAUGAAAAUCACAAAGCAGAACUGGAAGAAGACACAGAAAAAUACUGCCAUGUAAAGGAAGAGCCUUCAGAACAAGGGUCUCAGCUCAAAAUUAGCUAGCUGGUCCAUUCUGGAGUGGGAAAACUGAUAAAAUGCCGCAGUACUCAGGUAAUACCCUUGAUACAAUAUGUGGAAGGGAGACAGUGUUUGAAGUAAUAUCAGUGAAUGUAUCAGAGUACUCUCAGAGAAUUUUUCCAACGGAUAAGGAAAUAUUAUUUAAAUAAUACUAACUGUAAAAUUCACUCAUGAGUGAUUGAGAAAACAUGAGAAAUAUUGUUGAAAAUAUCAAGUCAAUAUAACAGCAGCAUUUCUUCUUUUAAAAGUGUUGUGGGUGGGAUUCACCUUGUUGAACUGGAGGUAGGAAUAUUUGAAAUAGAUGUCUAAGUUCCAUUGCUGUCAUUGGAGACUUAAUCAACUCAGUGAGUGAAAUCAAGGGCUAUCAAUACCUUUCAUUACCCAAAGUGAACCUACAGAAAAGCUGGAGAGUGACUCUUUAUCAGGUAGCAUUGUCAUAGGACAAGGGAUAGUUGCCUUCAACUAAACUAGAUUAGACAUUAGAAAGAAAUUCUUCACUAUGAGGACAGUGAGAUACUGAAAUAAAUUGUCCAUAGAAACUGUGGAUGCUCCAUCUCUGGGAGCAUUCAAACGUAGGUUGAGUGAAGCCCUUGGCAACUUGAUCUCAUGGAAGGUGACUGUGCUAUGGCAGGGAAUUAGAACUAGAUGAAUUUAAGUUCUCUUCCAAACCAUUUUAUGAUUCUAUGACUAAAUAUUGAUCCAAUCAAUAUUAAGGUUUUCAGAGGAGCUGAAAAUCAAUCCCAGUGACAAUAUUAUUCAUUGUGAUAGAACACAUUCACACACCGUAAUGCAGACAUCCAAAUUUGGGUAAGAAUAAUCAGAUUAGAAAAGUUAGCCUUUUUGCAGCAAUUCAUUAUAUAAUACGGAAUUAUUUUAUUUAUUUUUGUUACUAAUAAGAGUACUAGAUGUUUCACAAGCAUAGAUACUGGUCAAUUAUCUGAGCAAUAUCCAAUAUAUAAAUACACAAAGUUAGAAGGAAAUGAUCAAUGCCAGAGAGAAAUAAAAGUUAAAAUAAUACAUGCUUUUUCUUCUGUGUCUGAGAGAAUGUGAGUAGAUGUGAAAGUUGGAAAACCAAAAGAAUUAGUAGUAUGACAACAUUCCUUUUCUACCCUAGCAUUGUCAAAAGAUAACAAGAUUAAUUCUCUGCUGUAGUAUUUCACUACAGUAGUGUGUUAAUUUGAGGGGCUUGGCUGAGCCUUAUUCAGCAUAUAAUUAGAAUUUACUGAACUUUAAUUUCUUAUCAUCUUUAGGCUGCAUUAUCAAAGUGUUUAUAUUGAAACAUUCAAAUGUUCAGUUAAAAAUAAACUUCAGUUUGUCAAGGAUACAUUGUAUACAAAUUCUGUGGAAAUAUUUGAAUAAAAUUGUUCACUUUUGCUUUGUGAGAAAUGCUUUGCACUUUACAUAUUUAUAACAUAAUGUCAUUAGAGUAUGUAUCUUAGAAAUAUAGCAAUUUCCUGGUGAAUUUAUUGAAUAAAUGCUUAUCUAAUAAGUAAUUUGAGAGUAGAGAAAGAUCUAAUGAAAAGCUAAAUACACAGUGAAAUCCUAAUCAAGCAAUUGAAAUAGUUACUCAUGAUAAAACUAAGAUUAUCAGAGUAUCAGAACACAAAUUACUCCAUUAAUCUUUUGAAUUAGUCAGUUCUUAUUUUCUGAAGCUAAGUAACUUGGGAAGGUACACUCAAGGUUUCAUCUUUCUGAAGACUGUAUUUAUUACCUUUACUUUCAUAAAGAGUUCAUUAGAAAGAAUAUUACAGUGAAAUACGUUAACUUUUUAGCCUGUUUUAAUGAGGUCAUGUGAGUCUUUAAUUAUCUGACAUAAAACUGCUUAGUUUUACGUAGUAUCUACAGAUACUAAUUAGUAUCUACAUAUAUACAUUAGUAUCUACAUCAAUUAGUAUCUACAGAUAUUAACGGAUUCAUAUGUCAUAAAGCCAGAAGAAACGCUGUUAUUGAAUCUUAUAUGUGGCACAAUGCAGGCCACAGGACUUCACUGAAUUGAGUAGUUGUAAGAGAUUAUUCUUUUAUAUGAUUGACUCAAAGUUUGCUGAGGAACAAGUCCAGGCAAGUCCUGGGCAAAGGUACAGAAAUCUUCUGUCUGGAGGACACUGAUGGACAGGUCCUGGCUAAAGGAUUGUGAAGUCCUUUAAGGAGCACAGAUGGACGAGGCCAGGGGCAACGAGAGAGGGAUAAGCUGCUGAUAAUGGCUGAGAAAUGGUCUUUUGUGUGGACUUAUCUAGAAGAAGAUGGCCAUCUCAGGAGCUACGCACAUGACUCUUGCUCAAGCACCCAGGGAUGUCACGUAGGCAGGAAAAAGAGGAGGAUAAAAGAGGGUCUAACAACCAUGAGGAGAGGGUUUCUGCCAUCAGAUCCCUCACCACGACGGACUCAAGGUUUCUGCCAUCAGAUCCUUCACUACGGACCAUAUGCUGAUGGACUUCCCUGGGCCUGCUACCUGAGACCUGCUGCUUCCUCCCAGACUUACUCUGCGGCUUCUUCCUGGACCCACCCGGUACCUGCACCCUCUCGUUGCCCAAGACCGGCCUCGCUGCUCCUGCCCUUCAGCCUCGGACCAUCAGAACAUCGUGCAACAGGACUACUGCUGGUGGUGACUAUCCCCGCUUUAUGCAAUUCUUGCUUCUUUCUAUCUUUUCUAUCGCUCGCCUUCCCUUUCCCAUCACCCCAAUCCAUAAUAGUGUCCGUCCUCCCCUUUCUUCAUCUCCCUUAUUAACAUAUGUAAUAAACUGGUCGGACCAACAUUUGAACCGUUGUUUCUUAAUCUCACGCCGGGCAUACAUAUUUCAAAGAACCUCCUCUCCCUCCUAUAAAUUGGAGUGAGACAGUAGUACAUUAUGUCUAAGUAAAUGUGAUUAAAAUGGAGUAUAUUAAAAUGGAGCAUACAUUUUUUAUACAUUCUUGACUUUAAAUAUACACAAUGUUAGAGAAUUCAUUACGGUCUUUCACAGGUUGCCUCAAUAGUUAGUAAAACAUAUAGCAUGCUGACUGUUCAUCAUUUUAGCAUCUUUCUUGGAAUGUUAUACAAAUCUCAACAUAUAUAAAAAUAGUUUUUAUGUCAUCUUUAUCAAUAACAUUUGAAAUAUCAUAAAACUGAAAGAGCAGAUAGUUUUACAAGAUGUGUUUACAGUAAAUCCACAGUAACUUUGGUUAUUAUAUUAAUGCACAUUUGUUAUAUGUAUCUACAGCUAACACAAAUUACUGUGGAAUUAUGAUAUUAGCUGUCCUGAUAUUUUGCUUGAAAGAGAUAAGUAACUACCCUCCUUGAAUUACUUGAAUCACCCUCUUAAAACCUAAGAAAUAUUAGCACAGAAUUAACAGAUAAAUUAAUCUGUACUGUUUUGGAAGUUUUUAAGGUUGUCAAGACCAAACACUGUAAAUAUGGCCUAGAAAUUCUUUUCAAAAGCACUUCAAAAGCACUUAGAUAUGUUUUACGUAGACAAUUUGAAAUAUAUUUAUACUUAUGUGAUUGCAGUCACUUUUAUCCUAAGACUAAAAUACCAUACAUUCUUCAGUUAUAAUAGAAUAUUUCACAUGAAGGGUUCUACAGAGAUCAUCAAGUCCAACUGCCUGACAACUUCAGAGGUAACCACAAGUUAAGCGUAUUACUGAGGGCAUUAUCCAAAUGCAUCUCAAGUAAUAUUAGGCAUGGGACAUCAGUCAUCUCAUUGCAGUGAGAUAAAAGCCUGUUCCACUGUUUGAUGAUAAAUAAAUGUCCAGUAUAGUCUGAAACUCCCCUGGCACAGCACAGCUGUGUGCCACUCCUGUGCAACCUGCAAUCAGCACAGAAGAUACCAGGGAGCAGAGACCAGCACCUCCCUCUGUACUUCCUCUCCUCAAGGAGCUGCAGAGAGCAGUAAAGUCAUCUUGUAGACUCCUAUUCUCCAGGCUAGACAGUCCAAGAGUCCUCACCCUUUCCUUACUAGACAUGUCUUCCAUUCUGAUUACCUGCUUUGUUGCCAUUGUCUGGACACUUUUAGAUAUCUUAAUAAUGUUUUUAUGUUGUGGGGCAUACAUUAUUCAAGGUGAGGUUGCACCAACUCCAAAUAUAUCAGGACAAUCACCCCAAAAAGCAGUUUGCCCUUUUGGCAACCAACACUGCUGGUUCAUACUGAGCCUGCUAUCAUCAGCCCUCCUAGAUCAAUUUGUUCUGAGCUGCUCUCCAGCCAUUCAUCUCUCAGUUUGUGUCAUCUCUCAGGUACUGUGCCAGGCAUAGUACCUGACAUUUACCUUUGUUGAACUUCACGCCACUGUUUCCCCAGUGCUCCAAUCCAUCCACAUUGCUCUACAAGACCUCAGCAACACAACUGACCAUCUACUAGCCAAAUGGGUCUCCAUCACUACAACACUUUGAGUUCUACCAUUGAGCCAGUUUAUCACCCUGCAUAGUGUGAACAUACUUAUCUCACAGUUGGACAAUUUGUACAGAAAGUUGCCAUGAAGGAUCAUAUCAAAGGCUUUACUGAAUUCUAGAAAGAUGACGUACGCUGCCUUCCUUCAUCCACCAAGUGGGUAAUCUUAUAAAAAGAAAUCAAAGCAAUGAAGACAGGGCUUUCCCUUCAUGAACCCAUAUUGACUAUGCCUGACAAUGGCUUUGUCCUUCAAGUGCCUUUCAGUAACACUCACUAUAAUCUUCUCCAUAAAUUUUUAGGGUACUGAAGUUAGGUUAACAAGUCUGUUACAGAUUUGUUACUUUUGUUACUUUGUUUUCAGUAAGUUCUUUCUCUUUAUUUUUUGUUUGUUUGUUUAUUUUACUUUGUUUUGGGAAGAGGAGAGCUUGUGGUGGGGAGUGGGGUUUUGUCAUCUACGUAGUGCUAUUGAAGAUAAUACUACUUUUUUAUAUUUAAACAUUUGAUCCUCAGAAAGUUUCAUCCUAUUCUUUCAUGUUUACGAGAUUUUUCUCUCUUCAAACACUUUUUUUCUUUGUAUGAACAUUUGCAAAUGAGUGUGUACAUGCAUAUCAAUGACCAUGAGUACAUGGGGCUUAUCUGUUCCUCAAAAAUAUGACUUGGUCAAAAUUACUUUUGCAUAAAGAACAACUGAAUUUCAGCAACGUAAUCCUUUCCUACUCAUAAGUCUUAAAUUAAUGUGCAAAAUUGAAUUAAUCAGCAUAUUUAAUUACAAUUUUUUUGUUAAACUUAUUUAUCUGUGAAGGUGUUAUGUAUAAUUUUUGAAAGUUAAUGGAUACAUUAUUAAGCAAAGAGUAACAGCUCCAACAAACCAGAAUUAUUUAAGUCUCUGAGGAAAACUAAGAUUUCCCUUCUGAUUCAUCUUUAAAAUCCUGUUUUCAACAUCUUUGCAAAGUUAAUUUUAGUUUUUUAAAAGCCAGGUAACUUAAAAUAAUUUUUCUGCCCUUCAUUCCUCUUUUGUUUAUCGUGUUUUUCAGAAUGUUGUUCCAUUAGUGACUUUGAAGUCAGUGAUGUUAGAUCAAAUUAUUCAAAUUACUAGCUUUUGUUGUUGCUGGUGCUGUUUUGUGGGUUUUUUUUCUUUUGUUUUGUUUUGUUUUGAUUUUCCUCUUAUGAAUGUAAUUUACUGGUGUAGUGGUUAUUAGAACAGAACUUCACAGUGUUUGUGUUUUGUCUUAAUUAUAAGUAAUUUUAUAUCACUAAUAUUAUCAGUAAACUUGUUUGUGUAUAUUUUACUCAAUGAAAUGUUAAUGCCAAACUUUGAACAGAAACUGUACUGACUACUUCUAUCUUAAAACAGACAGUACCAGUAGCUGAUUGUUUUACUUUUGUUUCCUUUCAUCAAACAACUCUAUUCAGAAGGUGAAAAUUUCCUUUUCUUCUUUUUGAUGGAAUUUCUUUUCAUUUCUCCCCUUUCUUUUCAUAGUUUUACAAACGGUCAGUUACACAGUUUAUUACAAAAUAUGUUGAGGCACAUGCCUAGAAGGUGUGUUGAAUGGCAUACUCCAUCUACUUGUGGCAUCUAUGCAUAUUAAGUUGUUAAAAGCAUGUUUGUCAAACUUAUAUGACAGUUUUAGCAAUUGUAAAAACGCAUAUUUGCUAUGCUAUGCUAGAAGAAGAGGAAGAAAAAGAAGAAGAGAAGUGAAAAAAGAGAGGAGAGGAGAGGAGAGGAGAGGAGAGGAGAGGAGAGGAGAGGAGAG
rnacentral:lncRNA from 1 species